CAAAUUAAAGAGCGAUUAUCUGAACUAACGCACAAUUAUGUUCUCUAACUAGCAACAGCUGAGACAAAUUAACGAGCGAUUAUCUGAACUAACGCACAACUAUGUUCUCUAACUAGCAACAGCUGAGACAAAUUAAAGAGACACCAUCUGAACUAACGCACAUCUAUGUUCUCUAACUAACAACAGCAGGAAUAAAUUAAGUAAAGAUAAGCUUACCUGAAAUGCGAAGUAGUAGCGACGACACAAUCAGAUGCACAGUUCAGGAAAAGUUAGGAGAAGCGAAGUUCAGAAUCUGCAGCAUCCAUUGUUGAAUAUUAGAAAUAUUGCUGUUCUCGGUGAAGUAUUGCACAGCGUCAGUCAGAGACCCGUGUGCGUGCAUCAGUAUAACCACACACACAUACCAUCUCUGAGGACAAAGGAAGCCGGUUGUAUUCAACUUUAUUGAAGAAACAAAAUUUUUCAUGCAUUCUUACCGGGUGCCCUGUGGAGACUACAUUUUUACCCCACCCAUUUAAUUCAGCACAAAAUAAUUUCCACAUCUUGUCCACCUCAACAAUCAUUGUGUGCAGUGGCUAAAAAGACAUGUUGGGAAGUAAUAUGCUCUGGCCCGCUUCCAGCUAGUAAGAGCAACGAGGUCCUGUCAAUCAGCUGUGACCCCACUUUACAUCGGCUGGCUCUUGAUAGGUUAACCCAGACUGGUACGUAUCGCUCAUAUCUGAUCUGGGGGAGACUGGAGCAGGCCCCAAAAUGUAGACCCUUCUCAGGCUUGACUCAGGUGGUUGGGCUACCUAGCGGUGUUAACAAAAACCACUUGGGUCUAGCAAGGUAAGUAUCCAGCCCCCCUGGGUCCACUUGGACAGCACGCAGGGUGUGGUGGUCUGGGGCCACAGACCUUAAAUGGUGCCCAAUUUUCUAUCAGUGACUAGCACCACCCACACACCAGACCGUCUUGCACUACACACGUGAAUCUGACUAACCAAAACCAGUUUGGACUCUUUCAAAUUUCUGCACCCCUCUAAAUUGUCGCAUUCGAAUAGAUGGUGUAAUAUAUUGACUAUUUUCUAGUUUUGUGCCUAAUUAGGUGGUAAGUUAUACUCAACUGUACGUAGCGCUUCCGUUUUUCAGUUGUUCUUUCAAUCCAGCAUAGAGUACAAAGAAUCACGGAAGUUCAAGAGCUAGCUCAAAUGCAGCAGCAACAUGGACCCUGUAAAAGAAACAAAGAAAUGUUAAUGAAAACGCCUUAAAUAGCUAACUAGUUGAGUGCGGUGAAUACACAAUAUUCAACAGAUGGUUCUAAACAUAGGUGGUUCAGUUAAUGAGCGCGGACAAGACUUGCAAUAUACUUAGACAUAAACACAGUAGGAUCUAGGCACAUGCAGCUAGUACGUGACGGGGAGCCGUGCAUGCAAAGGGAUAGAGGAUGGGUCUAUGGCUUCACCGAUAGAGGAUACGGCAACACUGUGUGACUUAAACCUCUAGCCGGCAUUAUAAACACUAAGCACUAUAAACAAAAAACGGAAGUGUAAUCAGUUGUAUGCAGGAGCACAUCGGAAGCCUGAAGACCCAGCCGGCCUCCAGAAUCACACAUGAUCAUGAUUUUGUUCUUCAAGGAUUACUUUGUAAAGUAUAUGAUUGGUCUGUUCCGGCAUUGUUGUGAAUUAAUGCAGGG